CCCCUCCACUCAACGAAACACCCCCUCACACUCAACGAAACACCCCUCACACUACACGACACUCUGAUUGGCUCUCAAGAGACUGCGUCUGAAACGUGAUGACGUUUACGUUGACUGAGUAUGAAGAGAGAACCCGAAAAAGUAACACGAGAAAAUGACGGAGGAAAAGAGCAACACUACGUUCAGUGAAGGAGCAGACCCUGAGCUGAGGAGAUGCGACUCGGACACUGAUCUGCACAAAAAAGGGGAGCUAUGCAAAGCUUGUGGCUCAUCUGCAGGGACACCAAAGGUCAAUGGUGGAGUACGGGGGAUACAGUGUAUACAGAUGCCACCUUGACUGUGUGAAAAGCAGCCACUACCACUGUUGGUUUUGCACAACAAUCAUUGCGACCAAAUAAUAUUUCAUCAAGCAUUUCAUAACCUGCUGCAAGACAGCAUCCACAGCAACUCCACAAUCCACAGUGACCCCAGCACCUAGGGUCACUCUACCAUCCACAGCAACUCCACAAUCCACAGUGACCCCAGCACCUAGGGUCACUCUACCAUCCACAGUGACCCCAGCACCUAGGGUCACU